GGAAAAUGGCGAAAAAGGGGCGGAUAUGAAAGGAAAAAUAGGGAUUGCUCGCAGUCUAGAUCUCGGGCUAGUUCAGUUGCAUACGUUAUUCUGCCAUAUUCCACCAAAUUACCUGUAAAGGGGGUAUUGAGGGUUUUUUAGGGACCAAGGGAACAUGUAAGCUUCUUGGGGACCUAGGGAACAAGGUGAAAUAUUUUUUGGGAACAAUGGAUAACUUAUCAACGAAUGUGGAAACACAGACCCCCCAAUGAGAGACCCUUCCCCCAA